GAAAAAGUACUCUAAUACACACUAUUAUAUUUAAAUUAAAAAUCUUAUCUUUUAUCAGUCAACUGAUUAAAUUUCAACAUUUACAGUAAUAAAUUUAAUUCCUGUUCAAAUAAAUAAGGAAAAGAGAAUCCAAUGAUUGCAGUAAUGACAAUAUAAGGACUCUGCAUUGGCUAGACCAAGAGUUAUCUAUAUAUUAUUAAAAUAACAUCAGGUUCUGAUACCAGUAGUAGUUUUUUUAUAGUGAUAUUCCAGCACUAAUGAAAUGUCAUGAUUCAAGAUAUGGACAGAUUUUACAAUCUGUGAUAGAUGGACAGGUGGUGCUGAGAUCCAGGAUAGGAGAAUCGAAUCAAGGACUUGAAUAGCAAACAAAAAUUAGUUAGUUUGUUUUUUUUAAAUACAAAUACAAUUAAAAUUAUCCACUGUGGCUAGAGGUUGGAAUUCACUCAGUUUCACUUGUGUAUUGUAAGAUGCAACUAAAGGAUGACUUCUUUUCUACUAGCAGCCUGCCACGCUUCUGAUGGUAUCCUUUUCCCUCUUUCCUCAUGCUUUUCUAUAUUCUUUAGACUUCUUCCUUCAGUAUUCAAAGGGUAAAACCUUUGAGUAUACCUGCUAUCUAUUUAUUUAAAAAAUAUAUUAAAUAAAAAAUUGAAAUUAUUAACUAAAUAUUUAAAUCUAAACCAUCAGACUACUUGCCAUUGCCAUUGCAACUUGCCAUCAAACUAUAAAUAAAAUAAGAAUGAGAUCAACAAUUUAAUGAGACUUUACAGAUUUUCUUGAACAGAAUAUGCAUGUUCAGAGAGUCAGGAUGUUUUCCAGGCUUGAACUAUUCAAGUCUGGUGACCAUACCUGAGAGAGAAAAAGGCACAUUUAUUUUUCUUUAUAUUAUCUUUUGCAUUCUUUUUCUCAUAAAUCCUUUAAUAUUAAAAUCAUCUUUAAAUAUGAAAUUAUUGUUUCUAAUGAUGUCUGUUUCCUUCUUGUCUAUAUUGUAUCCCAUAGGUUCUUAAACUGUGGUCUGCGGACCCCUAGGGUCCGCGUAGCCAUUACUGAGGGUCUGCAAAAUUAUAAAAAAUAGUUGCAAACAGUUCAAGAAGAUGAUGAAAAGGCAAGAAGCGCAGAGCGAUAAAAAAAAUAUAUUUUUAAGGCAAUAAAUAAAACAUGAACCUAUUACUAUUGUUCCGUGAUUUUUAUAAUUUUUGUG
rnacentral:lncRNA from 1 species